AGUCACUGACAUUAGAUACCCGUGUAGUCCCAGCCGUAAACUAUGCGCGUUAGGUGUACUGGUGACCACGAGUCACCGGGGUACCGAAGGGAAACCGUUAAACUCGCUGCCUGGGGAGUACGGUCGCAAGGCUGAAACUUAAAGGAAUUGGCGGGGGAGCACUACAACGGGUGGAGCCUGCGGUUUAAUUGGACUCAACGACCGGAAACUCACCGGGGGCGACAGCAAUAUGUAGGUCAAGCUAAAGACUUUACCAGAAUCGCUG
rnacentral:rRNA from 1 species